GCAAGUGUGGCGUAGUGGUUUGAGUGUUGGACUACAAUUCUGGAGACCAGGUUUCGAUUCUCAGCUCAGCCA